GUUCCACUUAAAUUUGAGAAGCAACUUGUUCCUGGUGAGGGUGGCAGAGCCUGGCCCAGGCUGCCCAGGGAGGUUGUGGAGUCUCCUUCUGUGCAGACAUUCCAACCCCCUGGACACCUUCCUGUGUAACCUCAUCUGGGUGUUCCUGCUCCAUGGGGGGAUUGCACUGCAUGAGCUUGCCAGGGCCCUCCCAGUCCCUGACAGUCUGGGAUUCUGUAGGGAUGUAUUGUCCAGGAUUAUUAUUUGUUUCCUAAAUAUUAUUCCAAUGGGCUUAGUUUAAAGCAAGCUCUUGUUUUCUUGCCAAAACCUUGUAGAUGUGGAAUAUCAACUCUUAACUCUGCGAUCACGUGGCGUUUCCCGUUGAAUACUAUUUGACUUGCUUAAAGAAAAAUGAAGAUGGAUUUUUGCAGCAAGUGUUUCUGGGAAUAAUGUCAAAGAGAUUGAUAUAGUGUGUUUCCUACCCUGCAAUGUUCUUAUUGCCUUUAGCAGCUGUUUAUUCAAAAAAAUAAGGCAACGAUUAGUGAAAUCUAAGGGAGCUUUUACACAGAGAAAUGUGUUGCAACCAUCAGGGUAAAUAACACGCCGCGUUUCUGGAAAUUCAAGUACAAACUGCUUGCAACGAGCUGCCAAAUGGUGCGUGAAGUCUCCUUGUUUCAAGAAAUCCACAGGAAAUAAAUAUACCGCUGGUUUAGUGGAAAGAAAAAGAACACAGAUGCGAUAGGAAGAAGUUGCAAGAAAUAUCCAGCUCUAGCAUCUUUACAAAUGAGGCGUUUUAUGUGUAUUAAGUAUAUUUAAAGUUACAUUCAUGAUUUUUUUAGUACCUUCUGCAUCUCUUCGGGGAAAUGGUGACCUAAUAAAUGCUACAUUUAAUACUGCAAAGUGAUUUUUAAGAUAAUAUAUAUAUAGGUGCUUACAAAUUCGUGUGGCCUCAAAUAAUCGGUAGGUGUGACUUCUUGGGUAUUAUUUCGAUUUAUUUACUCAAGGCAAGGUUUUUACGAUAGUUUCUGCAAUCUGAUGAUUUCUGCUGAUUGGAAAAUGAAUCAUCUUUAAGAAACAAUUGAAAUAAUUUCUGUUUUAAAGAAAAAUAUGGUUCUGGAACUCACUUCUUAAAUAAUGGGAGAAUUAUUUCUGAUUAAAAGAACACAAAUACAACUGAUUUGAUGUUGUGAUCUCAUGGAACAUCCAGACACAACUACCGUCAACUUGUGGCUUUCGAAUGAGGGUUUUGCAUCCAGCAAAUGGAGACAGGAACCACUGGGCCGUGUUCAACGUGAAUCAAAGGCAACACAUGAAGGAAAAAUGAGUGGUUCUUUUUCCAUAGGUGCUCCAAAAUUGGGAAAUCUGAACCUUUUUUGGUGUCUCCACCACCCAACGCUUGUCCCUGUGAUUUGGCUUCUUCUGAUGUUUCCGCUACCAGGAGCUGAUGGGAAAGGGAGAAACUUGUGCGGCUUUGGCUGGUGCGGGAAGAGCGAUAGAUCUGAAAUAUAGUACCAAGAAAUUGGAUCUUUAAACUGGGAGGAUAGAAGAACAUUAAGCUCUGUUUAUCAACACCCAAGAAUGGUUGAGUUGCGCCUAAGAGUGAGAAGCCAAGUGAUCGGGUCUGUGCAAUGAGCGUUUGGAGGCGAAAGGGGCAACGACGGAUAAAGGGAAACGUCUCAAAUUGUGAGAAGCAAAGUGGAAAAGCGGCGUCUGGAUUUCAAUGUUGAGUCACAACUGUUUAUUUGCGAGGGAAAAAUAAACCAAUGAGUGAGGGGGAGAGGAGUGGGGAGAUGCUGAGGGCAAAAUUGGGUUGGGUAGCGUUUAAUUUCUCUAUCAAACCUUUAAUUUCUGUAUCGAACCUUUAAUUUAUGUAUUGCAGGGGUGCGGAACAUGGGGAAAAAAGCCGGAGUCAGCAACUUUAUCGCAAGCUCUUUCAUAACACCGGUGUGGAAAAGAGUCUUGCAAUAGAGGCUGGAAUACGUACAGGAAUGCUGAGCUGAUCCCAGAUUGUGCUGAUCCCAGAUCUCGGCCUUGUGAUUUGGUUUGUGUCACCGUCUUUUUGUGCGAAGGGAAAGAUUAGAGAGUUACAAUGAGGGGGAAAUGAUAUAAAGACCUGUAGCAAUGCGUACUCGAUUCUAACGCUGAUGACUAAGGGGCUGUCAGCUGAGAGAAAAGCUGAGCCUAAACAAGAUUUCCCAACUAAACCGAAUUCAAAUCGCAGAUAAAUCGGUAGUUGUUUUGAGUGCCGAUCCCUGAAACUCAGUCUGGAAACCCAGAGUCGUUUUGGGCUCUUUCGCGUUCACUCAUUAAUAAUCCCGUGGUCUGGAUCGCUGCCUCUGUUGAGCUCUGAACCGCAUGGGGAAACGAGCCCGUGACUAAUCCAGGAAUGAAAAUUCACACUGAUUCCUCCCCACCAGUACAGUUACGCAUUGUAAGUUGUAUCUUUGAAGUAAGAAGUCACCGCUUGUAUCGAGACACCUUCUUUUUUCGAGUCCUAUCCAAAUGGGAUCGCUCCAGCGAGCUGAACCUUGUUAUUAAUUUAAGACAGUGCUUUGGGACAACCCAAACCAGGGUUGCAGUAACAACGUGGUUACAGCUUUUUGUCAUUUUGGAUCGGGAUCCAAACUGUUUAAUUACUGUCUCUAACCCACCGCAUAACGUGUGUGUAAUGUGCUUGGAAACGGGCUCUAUUCAUGCAGGAAAGUAAGGAAUAACUAUAUAAAUAUGUAUGUAAUGUAGGAAAUAUUGUGUAAAAAUACCUAAACCGGGAGAACCUCGUGGCUGAGACCAGCACCCAUCUCUGUUGGGCUGUAAUCUCAUAUAUCGACAUUUAUUAAUAUAUUGAGGUUGGAUUAGGUGAGCUUUGAAGGUCACUUCCAACCCAAAUUCUUCUAUAAUUCGAUAAUGUAUAGACCUCUCCAGCAGUAGUUAGGGGCUAACUCUUUAUUUUAGGUCUACUAACCGCUCUUAAGAUACGUUUGCUCUUACCAACAUCAUUUUUAGGGUUGAUGGUAUUGCGGGAUGGCAGGGUGCGUGAAAUAAAGCCUCGGCAUGGGCUACGGCUUGCACCCAUCACACCUCCCACCAGUUGAACCAGUUGGAGACUGGUGAGGCGUAUUCUCUUCCCGCAUAAGUUAACACGGAUCUCCGGAGCAUCGUUAUUGUGAUAGAGGAGCUCCGGGCUACAUCAGGAACCCUCCUCUUCACCGGCUGAAAAUACCGAUAUUACUUUCUCAAUAACAGCUGAUUUUCUUGUUUAAAUUUAGGGAUUUGGGUCACCGUGGGUUAUUUUUUUAAAUGCAGCUUUAGGGGAAAAAAGUUCCCCAGGGAACUUCACUUUGCAGAGGUGUUUUUAAAUAAUGGGGCGUUUAUUCUGGACUCCACCAAAACUAUUAGUGCUUCUGGUGUUAAUAAGUGUUGGUAAGGUGUUGAACCCCAAGAGAUAAAUCAGCCGACACUCUGACUGUGAGAUCUCUGUGAUUCACUUGCUGUCCAUCGAUAUUUUCCUGUCUGUGGCCAUUGCAACUUAUUGUAGAUGAGGUUCUCAGGGACAUGGAUCAGUGCCAGACUUGGGUUAACGAUUGGACUCGAUGAUCUUGAAGGUCAUUUCCAACUAAAAUGAUUCUACAAUUGAAAGCUUUCUGGACAAGGAGUUUUAAGGGCUCUCUGCUGUGUGUUUCUCCAAUAUUUAAUAGGAUAUGGACCCAUAGAUGGAUCUUAAAUGGAUACACCUCCAGGGUUUCUCCUUCUCUUUGGGUUCUGCCUACCACAGGCUUCCAGAAACCUUGUAGAAUAGCUAAUUCUUAGAGAUUGUUCGUUUUUUGCCAAUUUGCUUUAAAACUUGCCAAUGUGAGGCACGGUAGAGGGAGAGCGGUCCUAAACUGGUCAUCUACAUUCACGUGGAAAGCAGAACUUCAGAGAAACCCCAGAUCUUCUGGGUCCUCUUAUGUCCUCGGUCUAGAAUAUAACAGACUCCGACCUCUUUGAAAAAUGUGACCCUUAUUCAGGUUUGAUGUGAGAGCUGGUAUCUGCAAAGAUCUGGGGUUGUAUUUCUUUUUGGUGAAGAAAACAAGGCAUUAUAUGGCCUGUGACCGUACAAAAGCGAGAUGGGCCUUCUUGAUCAAGGCCAAGAUGAAAAAGCCAAGUGCUUUGUAUGAGGCUCUGGGUGCCUUUUAACCUCUGAUCCUUCUCCCCUUGUCUCCUCCUCUUCCUUUGUUCAUUCCUUGGCUUUCAUCUUUGUUGCCUUUUAGCUCCAGUAUUUGCUACUACAAGGGAAAAAUAGAGUUGUGUCGUGCAACGGGGGCCUCAUCCAACAAAAUCCCACCCCGCUUUUUCUUUUGGUGGCUCCACUCAACUGCUUUCCACCAUGGGAUAGUGUUGCAAGACUCUUAAUUGCUAAAACACCACGACGUGAAAGCCUGGGGUUUCUCUUGGAGCAUCUUUCCAUGUCCUUCAGUCAAACCUUGAUCUUUGUGUUAAGCUUGACCAAAACAUGGGACAAGUCCUGAGCUUCAAGUGGCGUGGUUCUAUGAACGGAGGUCCCAAUGCGCUGCUGCUGCGUCCGCGAAACCCCAUGUCCCUGAGAACCUCAUCUGUGUGUCUGUUCAACCCCUCCAGGGCUGGUGACUCCAGCACUGCCCUGGGCAGCCUGUUCCAAUGCUCCACAGCCCUUUGGGGAAGAAAUUGUUCCCCACAUCCAACCUCAACCUCCCCUGGCGCAACUUGAGGCCGUUUCUUUGUGUCCCUGUGUCCCCUCAGCUCCUGUUCUCCAGCUGAACCCCCCAGGUCCCUCAGCCGCUCCCAUCACACUUGUGCUCCAGCCCCUUCCCCAGCUCCGUUCCCUUCUCUCAACUCGCUCCAGCACCUCAAGGCCUUUCUUGGCGUGAGGGGCCCAAAACUGAGCUCAGGAUUCGAGGUGCAGCCUUAGUGUUCAAUAUAUACAAGAUAAUGAAGUCCCAUGAGUAGUGCCAGCUUCUUGGGAUGGUUUCCAGCCCGCUGACAAUUAGCAUCACCACACUCUGAAAAGUCAAAGAGCAAAGAAACAUCAGGAAAACAAAGACAAGGAGCAAGAGGAGCUGUUGGGGUCUGGAGGAACUGCCAGCUUGGGCUGUUGUGCCAUGUUCAAGGUCCCCAAGCCAGCUGAGUGAUAGUAACCUGGCAGCAAGAAGAGGUGGCGUGAAACCCCUGAGCCUCCUGGGGACGAUAAAACGACAUUCCUGCCCUGCAAAAUAUCAAACAGUUGAUUGUUUGAUUUGCAGCAAUCGGAUUUCUCUGCCGGGAUGGAGGAACACGGCUUGUGUUUCACACAGAAAUGGGGGUUGUUACGCUCUGGCUCUGCCGCACUAGGAAGGUCCGUACUUGCUGAUGGGUACGAGAGCUGGAAAAGUAACCUGCUCCAUUGACAUAUAUCAGUAUUUUGACAAAGGACGCUGUGUUCUGGCUAAUUCUCCAUUCAGUGCCCUGGUCAGCUCUGAAACGCCAUCGAGGAGCAAGUUGGCCUCGCCACGGAGAGGUCACGACUACAAAGAGGCGAGAAGGAGCGAGCACGCCGGGGUUUUCCGGGCGCUGUAGAUCAAUGGGCUGGUCCCCCCGCGCUUCCUACGCUCUUUGUGUGACGUCCCCAAAUGAAAUACGGUGCGGGAACCGACCGCCAUGGCUGGAACAGCGGUGAUGUGAGCAGAGAAACCUCUCGGCAGAGAAGGAAAAGCCACGUUUAAUGAGGAAAAUUGUUGUAAUUACAUUGUAGUGAUGCCUGGGCCUCAUAUGUGGCGUGAGUUUCACCCAGAGCACUGUUGGGCUCCUGUAGCAGGUAGGGAAACUGAGGCACGGGAGGUGAGGAAACAACUCUGUGCUGGAGAUAGAGACAGAUUUUGCUGCUUUCAUGCUGCUCAGCCCAAGCACUGGGAGAGCCCAAGCGGUUGUCCCGCCCCAGAGCGUGACCCACCACAAAGCUUAGGGGCCUAAGAUGGGCUUUAGGCAGAGUUCAGACCUGAAUUUACAAUUUUGAACCCCCAAACCUGCUGCUUAGUGCUGUUUUCUGAGUCUUUGAUGUCCAUCCCACCUUGUCCUUGCUCAAGUUCAUGGGGAUUCUUGGAGCCCCUUCAGAGCUGUCUCAAAUCCACGCUGUGACUAAGCUCUGUCUCUAGACUGGGCUUACAGGAAGCUUUUUAUUUCUGGCAACGAGCCCAGGCUGAGAUCUGAGCAACUCCAGGCUAAACCCUCUGUAACUCUUGUUCCUUCCUGGGCUGAACUCGCACUCAAGCUCGAAUUUUAUUGCGACCGGAAUGUAUGGAACGUGGCGGUCACCGAGGUCUCUUGGAGCAGCUGGUGGCUCUCCAAGGAGGACAAAAGUUGGCCACACCUGCUGAGCAAAUAAAAAAAUGGGUCGCAAAACAAGGGUGAAGGUGAUGGGGGAGAUAAGAGUCCAUCCGGCACCUUCCUGGAUCCAAACCAGCGUGGUCAGCAGGACAAGGGCAGUGAUCCUUCCCCUGUGCUCUGCAUUGGGGAGGCCACACCUGGAGUGUUGUGUUCAGUUCUGGGCCCCUCAGCUCAGGAAAGAGAUUGAAGUGCUGGAGCGGGUGCAGAGAAGAGCAACAAGACUGGGGAAGGGACUGGAACACAAGCCCUAUGGGGAGAGGCUGAGGGAGCUGGGCUUGUUUAGUCUGGAGAAGAGGAGGCUUAGAGCUGAGCUCAGCACUCUCUAGAACUACCUGAAGGGCAGUUCUAGCCAGGUGGGGCUUGGUCUCUUCUCCCAGGCAGUCAGCAAUAGGACAACAAGGCUUAAACUUAAAUUUAGGCUGGAGAUUAGACAGCAAUUCUCUGCAGAGAGAGUGGUCAGGCAUUGGAAUGGCUGCCCAGGGAGGUGCUGGACUCACCGGCCCUGGAGGUUUUUAAACUGAGCUUGGCCAUGGCAGUUAGUGCCAUGAUCUAGUCAAUGGACUGGAGUUGGACCAAGGCUUGGACUUGACGAUCUCUGAGGUCUUUUCCAACCCAGUCCAUUCUGUGAUUCUACUUGUGCUGAGUUUAGCUUUUCCAACCAGAUUCCCAUCAAAGUGUAAGGUUUUUCCUCGGAAAACGAGUGACCGCUCUGAGUCAAUGCAGAGACCCAAAGCCAGACUGUGGGUUCCAAGCUGGAAGACACGUAUCUGCUGCUGUCCCGGCGGAGAAACCAUCUGGACAUCUCGCCGCUUCUGAAUUUGAUCCCAGACCAUGGAAAAACUCGUCUCGUAGAGCAGCCGGCUGGAGAAACGCGUUGGCAGGUUGCAAUGGGGAGUGGUGUCCAACGUGCAUCGUGUUUUGGCACGUCCGUGUCCGUCUCUCCCCGCCUUGGAUGGUUUCCUGAGAUAUUCGCUCUUUCUGAAAAAGCAAAAUAUUAAAAGACCACAAACCCCGCUGCCUGUGUUUGCAGCGCGUCGCUGCGGGACGAUCUCCGUGCGAUGAAGGGAGCAAACAGCUGGACGUUGUGGUAGCGCUCUGGGUUUCAUCCAGCGGUGAUUAUCCCUUGCUUGUCUUUUCUGAACAGCCUUAAAUAGAGAUGAUCUAACCAAAAAAUGACUCGAGCAGGCUUCUAGGAAAGAAUGCCAUGCACGCUACCGUGGGGCAGUGCUGGAAAACCGAGACAUCCGUGUCUUUCAGGUUUUUUCAAACACAUAUAGUGAUAUAUUGUUCUACCUAAGAGCUGAUGCAGCUCGUUGAACAGUUUAUCUUGGAGGUGAAUGGCAGAAAAUCAAAGCCCUGAUGUGGAUUCAGAGAAUCCAGAUGUUGUCGCUGACAAGGUUUGGGGGCUUUUGGGACCUUUACGCCUCUUUUGUUAUCAGUUCUAGGGGCGCCCAUCCGCUCAACACGAGACGAUCGUGGAAUCACGGGACAGUUUGGGUUGGAAGGGACCUUGGCCGGGGGACAAAGCUCCGAAACGUGCGACGGAUGCGGGACGGGGAUGUCACACCAAUGGCUCCGAUCCCAACAGUUUUGCCGUUUGUUGAAUGGAGUGGGUGUUUGCAGAAGAGGCCAACACUGGAAUUUGCCAACGCUGACGUGGUCACAGCUCAACGAGAAGCCACAUAUGUUGUGCAAAUACACCAUGGAAAAAAUAGUGACGUGAGUGACCUUUCCUAUGUGACAGGAAAUCUAUAAUGUGUUGUGAGGGGGCUGUUGCAUCCCAAGUGUGGAGCUACAGAAGAGACGUUCUUUUCAUUCUCCAUCCAUCCACAUUUGGGCUUUCCACUCUAUUUUCAUUGCUGGUACCAGCCAGAAAAGGGAGGAAAAAUACUCGAGAACGACGUCUACGCUCACAAAAAUGUAUUGGUGACUUGUGUAAUCAGCAUAGGAUGCUGAAGGCAUUUGAGAAGCGCGUAGAACAAAAGUUAUGUUUUAAAAUUAACAUUUUAGCAGGUAAAUUAGGGGAGGGAGCGAAGAAAUAAAUGCCUAUCCAAAAAAAAAGGAGGGUUACCUAAUAUAAUUGAACACAGUCUUGUUUCAGGAACACCCUGGGGAUGCGUAAUAGGAAGGUAAAAUCACCAUGUAUAUAAUGUUGUGGUGGAUUGUCAGCAGGUGGCCGUGUUCCAGGCACACAUCCAAGAUGUUUUAUUCCAUGUGUGAGCCGUAGUGAUGUUCUUUAUUACGGCCUGUUCCGCAGAGAAGCAAUUUAUAGAUGCCUUUACAUCUCACGUGUCUGCUUCGCUCCGGAUUUUCUUAGAAAGCAGAUUAACCGGUGUAAAUGUGUCGGUGAAAUGAGCUGGUCCAGAUUUUGGGGCUGAUUUGUGCUCCAAUGGAACCGAGGUCCUGGUGGGAGAUGCUCCAUGUGGUGCUACAAAUACAGAAACACAUACAAAAGAGACGCCCAUCUAGGGCCAUGUACAUGGUAAACUUGAAAAACUUGCUUGUUCGGGAGGUUAAAUCUAUACAUUUCUAUAUGCUACCCUGUUAAUCAUUUUCUCUUUAGCAGCUGAGCCCAUCACUUGUGUCCAGGGGUUGAAUUUAACACCCCAGCCAAGUUCUUUUUAAGCAGGAAAUUCCUCCUUUUUGAUUUCUUUCUGUGUUGGGAGAGAUAGUUGAGGAUAUACAUGAGACUCUAAUCUGCUCCUUCAUCCAUCUGCAGCUCUGGGAGAGGCAGGAGAGCAGGAAUUUGGGGGGAUUUUUGUACAAUGCAGCAAUUCGAGAAGUUUUAAUACCGCAGGAACCUCGGCUCACCUGAAAUUGCCGGUGCUGAACCGUGCAGCAUCCAUAUGGAUCAGCUUUCUGCUUUAUGAACCACUCGCAAAGCCUGUAUUUGAAUCUAGAAUCGUUUCUCCAAUCCGUUCAUCUCUCACCGGACGUCAUUUAUCUCCAGGUCAGACACCAGCUCCUAAGUGGGAUCUGAUGCUGAUUCAAAACAGAUUGAGGCUUUUCAUCGAAAUCCUUUAAGUGCACCGUAACAAGUCGGGAUGUUUAAUAUAUUUGGGAAGAAAAAUAACUUGUUUUUUAUUUUUAGUCCUGCGGAUAGUCUUGCUCUGAAAUAUCGGGUGCAAAAGUCGAAAGCGUGUCUGUGCAAAGGGAAUUUCUGCAAGGUUUCUGCUGGGGAGACCGGUGUUUAUUACCAGGCUGCUCGAGGAUGAAUGAAUGAGAAGAAAAUCACAUGCUACCGGUAUCUGGGGUUAUUCGGAGUCAGUGAACUCAAGUUGCAGUGUAGGUAACACCUCAGGUCUUCUCUUCCAAUAGGAAAAGGACUUUUACGGGGCGAAAUCAGGAGAGUUUGUCGGCCAAUGAACGUUUGCUCUGGGAAUGAGUCACAUUCAUAAAGAGUUUCAAGUUUGCGGGCUGGCAGAUCCAGAGAGAUCAUUAAACCCACAUAAAAGGCGAUUAUUAAUACAGCUUCUAUAGUUUUGCGCCCGCGUUGGGUCAUGUAGAUGGGGCAGGGGAAGAAGUAGAAAGCGGGGGGGGGGGAAAUAACCAUGCUGGAAGCGUGAAUCACUGCUGCCCUGGGUGAGAUACAGUCCUGGAAAUUCUCCGUGGGCUCCGCAUACCUGCUGGGGCUGUUAUGGCAAAAUUCCUACACACAGAAGCUUUGGGGUUUGUGGAGCGAUUUGCCUGGAGGAUUUUUAGCUGUGACAUUUAUCUGAGGUGCUUUGGAGCAGCUUUUACCUCCUGCUCCCCCAUGUCCUGCCCGUUGUCCCCAAUGAUGCUGCCUGGCCGGGAUGGGGACCCUGGGACCCCAUUGCUAUUGGGGACUGGGGUAAAACAGCAGGGCUGGUCGCCUCCAAAAUCUUAGCCGAGGUGGUUUUGGAGUGGUACCCACCUCUGCGUGGCCUCCUGACGAGAUGCUUCUUAUCCCUUUCCACCCCUGGGAGCAAUUCCUAGAUUUAUAUAAUCUUUGUCUUGGGGUUGGAAGAAUUUGUCUCAAUUUUUAGCAUUAAGAUCAUUUCUUAAUGUUUCUAUCCCUGGAAGUCUUUGGUUAGAGAGAAAUGUUUCUCAUUAUGUGGCUACGAGGUCGCCAGGUCUGGGAUAUAUUUCUGGUUUAUAUUAUUCUCUGUGUUCCUUCUGGUGCGCAUGAGACAUCCCAGAACCAAAGAUGACGCGAUCCUUCUUUUAUCCAUAGGGUUAUCCAUAGAUAACGAUGAGGAGGAUGCAAAUGACAGAGCGGCGACCUCCUGGCAUCAACUCAGAAGUGGCUUAAUGGGAAAGAAGAGCAUCCACAAGAAAGAAGUUUUGGUUUUAUGUUGGCGACAGCUGUGUUUUCCCUUUACACAAAGAUGCCCAGGAGUGAAGAUUUUAAAGAAACCUCUAAACACCAUGAACCUCAGCGGGUGGUAGGAGUGGAGAAUCGUGAUUCAGCUCUGAUUUAAUUCGCUAUCCCAUCAUGUACCAGUCUGCUUUGGACACCAAACCUCAGUGCCCAUUGAACCAGUGCGUUUGGAGGCAGCGCUGGGGAGUCACGUCCUUGUAUCCCUGUUGGAAGAGUCACCAGCCCCAGAGAUGGUGCUUAGCUGGCUCAGCACUUUGGCUGGUACAUGCUGCUCUUUCUCCUGGAAAGAAGUUGGAAUCACCUUCUCUUUUCGCCAGUAAUUAACAUCGUGCAGCUUUGUUUCCUCUCAUCUGGAAGAGGAAACAGCCUCGAGCAAAGUCUGUGACCCUUGCAGGUUUCGAUUGAAGGGCUGGAGGUUCACUUUUGAAAUGCAAAACCCAGGGAUCACAUCAGGACAGAGUCGUUGUCAGGAGCCCCAGCAGAGCCAGACUGGCACGAGCUUCUCUCCGACCGUCGGAUUUUGAUUACAGCCAAAGCUAAUAUCAGCAUUUAGAAUCUUUAAGAGCGAGGGUUGUAGAGUGGGAACCCCCAUCUCCGAGGGCCGCACCCCUCGUUUUGAGGAGGAGGCCACCACGGGUUGUCCUUGGCACAGAGACUCCUGCUGAUCAACCUGAACCCUGCUGAGCAACCCCAUCACAUUAUUCCAGUUAAGUGCAUUUUUACUGAUAUUAAGGGUUAAAUGUGUUGCAUGGUGGCUUUUCGGCACUCUCUUGGUCUUCGUUGGCGUGUCCCAAUCAAGGGCUGUUCUCAUCCUUGCUCAGCAAGAAGAGGAAAAGGCAACUUGAAAGGACACUGACUUGUGCAAGGGAAGGAUUAAAACAUCAGGUGUUUACCAAAACCAAAUAUCCCGACACAACUGGAGAAAGACAGAGCUCCUCCUUGUUUCCCCCCAUUAUUCACAAUAACUUCUAUUUGGCUAAAAUACUCUUGAGAAAAGUGCUGUCUGGAGCUGGAGAGAUCAAGAAAUGCAGAUUUAUCGUGUCCUGUGAUGGUUGUUCCGUGUGGUUAAUCAAACACUCUGCAAAAAGGCACCUUAUUCUUAAUUUGCAGUUGUCUGGCUUUGGCUUUUGGGUGUCCAUUAGUACCUAUUUACUUCUUUUGUUUUCCCAAUCCAGAGAUACGCAGUUGCAUUAAUUUUUGUCCUUCCUUUUGGUGCAGAGACCUAAAAAUAUUCCUUCUACCUUUAACUAUAUCUUUUUUCCAUCGCUGCCAGCUCUUUCAGCAUCAUUGCACCUGCAUCCUCAUCGUGAUAUCGUCGCAUCCUCAUCUUUUCCAUCUGAAACCUUCCAGGACGCAUUUUCCCACCGUGUAGGUAGCAACUCCCACUGCAACUUUCCACACAGCUCAGGGAAAAUAGGAUUUGUCUGAAUAUGUUUGGCUGGUUGAGAGAUUUCCAUCAUCCCGUGCCCAUCUGCCCUGCCCUCAAUGAUAACUCCCAUCCUGCCAACACUAAUAUCACCCGCAGAUUUUAUCAGCGGUGUCGCGUGGGCGUAUUUCAGGAUCUUUGAUUAAAAAGGUUGAUUAACUUUGCAAUAUUUCCCACCUAAAGAGAGAGAACAAAAUCAGAGUUGAUUCCAAAUUCUUGAGAUUCCAAAGCCCUGAGGAUGUUUCUUUAAAAGGAGCGAAGAUGCUGCAUGAAGAAAGUUGCUCCACUCCCUUCAGCAUCUUGGUGGCUGCGCUGGACUCUCUCCAGCAGUUCCCUGUCCUGCUGGAACUGAGGGGCCACAGCUGGACACAAGAUUCCAGGUGUGGUCUCCCCAGGGCAGAGCAGAGGGGCAGGAGAACCUCUCGGACCUACUGACCACCCCCUUCUAACCCACCCCAGGUACCAUUGGCUUCCUGGCCACAAGGGCCAGUGCUGGCUCAUGGUCACCCUGCUGUCCCCAGCACCCCCAGGUCCCUUUCCCCUACACUGCUCUCCAACAGGUCAUUCCCCAACUUACACUGGAACCUGGGGUUGUUCUGCCCAGAUUCAAGACUCUACACUUGCCCUUGUUCUAUUUCAUUACGUUUUCCCGCCCAACUCUCCAGCCUGUCCAGGUCUCUGAUGGCAGCACAGCCUCUGGCGUGUCACCACUCCUCCCAGCUUGGUGUCACCAGCAAACUUGCUGACAGUCACUCUAUUCCCUCGGCCAAAUCACUGAUGAAUAUCUUGAACAAUCCCGGCCCCAGCACUGCCCCUGAGGCACUGCACUAGAUCCAGGCCUCAACUGGACUCUGCCCAUUGACCACGACUCUCUGGCUUCUUCCCUUCAGCCAGGUCACACUCCACCUCACUCCCCGCUCAUCCAGACCACACUCCCUCAGUUCAGCGGUGAGGUAUAUUCAAGGUAUAGCAACAGGUAUAUUCUCUCCCAUCGUGGUACCUAUGGGGUAGACGUAGCCAGGGAUGAGGAUGUUUUGCUUGUGAUGUUUCUUUUCUGUAGCAUUUUGGGGGAUUUUUUGCCUGGGAAAAACACACCAGAGUAAGUGCUGCUCAGUGGAAAGUUCAACAGCCUUGUUGGUUUUGAGAACAUGUCAAAGGGCAAGAAUAGCCAAAUUCGGGCCGUAACACAAAUAUUAAUGCAAAAACCCUGGGAAGUUCAAGGGCGGGUAGAUCUGAGUUUCUGCCCUGGGUCUAUUCCUAAAUAUUUGAUUUAUAUUUAAUAUACAACCCCAACGAAACCAUUGUGGGGAGCGUGACUACUUAAAAUAUACAGCCUGAAUUUCACUUCGUUCUGUGCAAAUAAAUUAAAAAAGCAUUUGCAAUAUGACGUGUGCAGCAAAAAUACGGAGUGGAUAUAGAAUAGUGUUCUGCAGUGCUCAUGUUUUCCCCUUCACUUUUGGUUUGGUCUGUCUCGUCGGGGAUCCAAAUUACACCACUGGAACUGGUCUGGACCAUUUCUCAGAAGUAUUUCUUAAACGGGUGCCAACAGGUUAAAUAAAUUCACUUAUAAUUAUCAAUAAAACGACCUAUAUGGUGGAAAAAAAGGUGCAAUCUGAUAUUGUUUGAAGCUUUUAUGCAGUUCUUUUUUGAAAAUGGUGAAAAGACAAGAUCGUUCCUAUGGGAAACACAGUGGAUGGGAUGAACCGGAACUCUAUGCAAAGGGAAGGAUACAGAAAUUAUUUGGUUCCUUGUUCUAAGAAGAGAUUUUGCUGAUGUUCUGCUUGCUUUUCUUGGCUUGUAUAGAGUGGGUGAGGGAACUAUGGUGAAAUUAAGAGGUGGCAAAUUGAGAGUUCUUGAUCAAGAGGCUGAUGUUAUAAACCAAAGGUCAUACUUAAUCUGGAUAAGUUAGGACAAACUCACCUGAGCGUCUUCUCUCUGCCUUCGAGCAAUGUGUAGAGAGCAGGGUAGGCAAAGCCCAGCUCCAAGACACAAAUAUGGCCCAGAUUAUGGAGACAACAGCCCUCAGGGCAGAUCCUGGUCUUUGUUCAGAUGGUUCAGGAGCUACAAAUGCCAACACACCCUCCAACAGUGGUGGACGUUCCAGUUGGGUUGAGGGGCACCUGAAUCGUCGCAUUCCCGGUGUGGCUUCGGUUUAACCAUGCAACCUUUUGUUUGAGCCUGGCUUUCAAAGUCUAAAAACAGCGUUUCCCAGAUCGUAAAGCUAAAUUUGAUUUUGAUGAGGCUUAAAGAGCAAACGGGGUCCUGGCAGCUCCCACACAGCGGUGUAAUGUCAUUCCUCAACACCCUGCGCUCAACCUGCGGCUUUGGAGCACAGGUCCGAUGCGAAACAGGCUUAAAAGAUGCAUAGACGAGGUUCUUAGGGACACAGCUUAGUGACAGUGCUCGGGUAACGGUUGGACUCGAUGAUCUUGAGGGCCUUUUCCAAUCAAAAUGAUUCUGUGGGUCCAUGGUUCAUUUCAGUCCUGAGUGGUUUAGCAAAAGCCAAGUGGCCACCAAUGUUUAAGGCUUUGGCCAAGCAAAAUAGUCAAGUAGUGGAGAGUUUGGCUCUUAACUCUCCCAAAUACAUCGUGUUAUUUCGUUGUGGUGCAGGUCUUUCAGUCCAAAUAUCACAUGCUUGAAUACUUUGAGGCCUCCCAGAAUGCAGACACCGUGUCCGGUUUUGCAAGGUCAAAGCUCUUCUUCCACGCACCUUCCAGUUGGGUUUGAGCUGGGUUUGUGGGCCCAGAGCCUGAUCCCUUUUGGGAACCAAACCAAAGGAGCAAAGACCUUUCAGAGAUUGAUCCCAAAACCACGUUCCCGCGUCAAAACUGGUGUGGACCAACGGCCAAGCUCCGAUUUAUGGACACCGAUCAACCAUGGGUACUCUGGUUGCCCCAAGGUGCUCAUCCUUGCCCACGACCCGCGUCGCUGCCGCACGGGUGGUUAAGCUCCCGCGGAGCAGCUGCUCAACAGCUGCACGUUACACUUCCCAUAUGAAAGAAACCCCAAAUCUGUGUGAAAUUUCCAGUGGUUUCACAGCUGUUGCCUGAGCCAGGCUGUCUGUGUCACGUCUACGGGGACAGCGGAGGGGAACGAGGCAGGACAGACAGCUGGCAGCAGAAGUUUCUCCAACCGCUUAGUUCUAAUCUGCUUUUUCUCACGUCAAAGCCCUUUGAGUGAAAAUUUGAGAACGGCGAAGCCUUUGGAUUUAUUUUCCUCCCUUCCUCCCACGAUUGCGGUGAAUCUGGUGCGAGCCAAACUCUGUCAUUAAGGGAUUUAUUUCUAGGGAGGCUUUUUGGUGGGAUUCGUCGCAACUUAUUUGAAAUAUCUCAGCAAGCCAGAUGCUCGUUCUUGUGAACGGAGACAAGUAGCAUCCAGGAAUGGUCUGUUCAGCUGAACUAAAUAUUGGAUUUAGAGAAAGACAACUUGCUUUCUGAAGACAGGGGUCUUAUCUGACUCUAAAGUUACUGUUUUAUGGCUGCAAGAGUGGGGGUGGAUCCCAGUAUGUGCUGGAUUUUCUGGGAAGGUGUUCUGGUGAGGUGAGAAACUUCUGAAGGAGAAGUGCCACUAAAAAUAAUGACAUUAAUUGUGUGCUUUGAAAAAACACCACACAGAGCAAUUUGCCAAAGGAUCUGGGAGGUGUUUAAAAUAUGAAUAGGCUGUGGUGUGACCAACCGCCUGACCCUGUUUGCCUGUGGAAAGGGAGGGUUUAGUGCCCAGGAUGUCUCAGGGUAAAGCCUGGGUCACCAGAAGGGCUUCGUUUGCCACAGUCAAUAAUAAAGUGCAGGAUAAAAUCUGUGGUAUUCCCGGGAUUUAUUCUAAAAACACCUGGCACAAACAUUAGCUUUUAUUCCUUGAUGUUUUGCAGUCUCUCUGCGUUCAUAAAAAGAAAACGACCCUUUAAUUCUUAAUCAAAACAAGUUCUUCAAUCUGGUUUUUUCAUGCAACUGAAAUUAUGCCAGGAAUCCCUAAUUUGCUCUUAAAUGUGAAUUCAGGUUAACCAAAAAGCGAUGUAAUUUUUAGCUUUUCAGGAAGAGCUGCUGUCAGCAGAUGUGAUGCUGCAGAGUUAAAGCCUACGAGGAGGUCGCGUCUUCCCCACGCUGCUCGGCUGUAUUUUGGCUGCUGUUUCCCUGUUUCGUUGCUUGCCAGAUGAGUCUCCUGUAGCGUAAUAUCAGUCUCUACAGGGUGCCGUUCCCGUACCCCAACCCGUCCUACGCAUCUAAUGGCUCCACAGGAAUGGGACAUCAGGAAGAGAGAGAGAUGGACAGACAGAGAGAACUUCUCCAGGAGCUGAAAACACGAUUGUGAGCCGCGGGAUUUGUGCCAAGGGGCUCUCGGUUUCGUGCGACACGGUCACACCAAGACCUCAGCUUGUCUUGGGAAGGGUCAUCGAGGCAACGGCAUCUGGAGCAGCUUCAUGAAGGUCCUGAACUGACUCCAUCCCUCUUCUGGGGCUUGGGGAUGAGAGAAGAGAUGGAUAAUGUUGCCAAAACAUCCUUUGGUUGGCCCAGGAAUAUGAUUUAUCUGCUCCAAAGCCAUGCAACGAUCUUGCCUUAAAAUGUCCUGCUGACUCACAGAGGAUUCCGAGGAAGUUACAGGGUAAAAAUGAAGGGUUAUAAGAUAAAGGAGGAAUUUAUAAAUCUUCCCAAGGUGGAAGGGCUGUGUGUCACAGCAGUGGUAGGACACAGUGACCCAUUUCUGACUCAUUCCUCACUGCUGAAGGCAACUUCUGGAGAAGUAAGACCCCCAGAGUAGACUUCAGACCUUCAAAAUGCUGACUUAUGGUGGUUUAUUUCCUUAUUUAAUUCCAAACUUGCAACAUCAGAGAAGAAAAGUAUGUGAUGUGGACACACCUCUUGUCUGAAAUUGGGUCAUCACAGUUACAGGUCAUAAUCCAGGAGACGAUUAAGCUGGAUUUGUGUUGUCUUUUGGGAGAGCACAGGCUUGCCAAGGACCUCAAUAUGCCUUGGAGAAUGAUAUUGUGUGUACUUGACGUGGAGGGUGAUACCUGAGUAACAUUUCUUCAGCACUAAGAAAUAUCCUAUGAACGGGAAGGUGCCAAUCAACGUUAUGUAUUUCUGGGCUUCUUCCAGCGAAGAGAAGUCAUGGAUGGUACCUUGGAGAAAUCACCAUCUGCCAUCUCAGCUCUUCUUGCAAAGGAUGCGUUUUGGUCUAGACCUUUCAGGCCAUUGGUGUUGAGACCCAUAGACAACGUGUGGUAGUUUGUGGAGAAAAAAUAAUAGGACUUUCACAGGGUCCUACCUGAAAACUGCUCUUCACCUUCAAGCUGGCCAAAAUGAAUCAGGAGAGAGUGACAAUGGAGAGCAGAGAAUGGCUGAGAAGAUUAGGGAAGGAUUUCCUGUGGUGGGCCUGAUCCACCAUUCUGGUGGAACUGUAGAACCAUAGAAUCAUUUUGGUUGGAAAAGACCUUUAAGGUCAUCAAGUCCAACCAUAACCCAACCAUGACACUGCCCCAUGUCUAUAAGAACAUAAUCUCUGUGUAUUUCCAACCUCUCCAGGGAUGGUGACUUCACCACUGCCCUGGGCAGCCUGUUCCAAUGCCCGAUAACCCCUUCCGUGAAGAAAUUGUUCCCAAGAUCCAAUCUAAUCCUGGGAAAUUGCUAAAAAAUGCACCGUGGGUGGGAUUCAGGCCCAGACUGUCAGUGUCCAAAUGUAGAUACGCGCUGGUGUCUCCACGUGUGGUCAACGUGCAAGUUCCCAUCAACUUCCAGAGAUCGGUGUGGUCAAGCAUCUGGAAGACGACCCAUGGCUGCUUGAGGCUCUCCAGCCUUCAUCACUUGCAUCGGUCGGAUCUCAGGUGACUCUUACACUGACACCUUUUGGUCUGCUUAUCGUUUUCCACCAAAAAUACACAGGACACUUGCUCUGCUUGUCCCGGGAAUGCUUAUGGAGACUUCUCACCAAAGCUCCAUGAUGUUAAUAUACAAUAGUAGCUGUCCUGAUGAGUUUUACUACCAGGAGGGGUGUGAUUUUGUUAGGUCAAGGUAUUUUGGAGAACAUAUGUUCAUACUGACAUAUUCAUCUGAUCUUAAUUAAUAAGGACAGGGGGAAUAUGUCAUCAGAUUCAGAGCUGUGUGUUACCUCACCCCUUGCAGUCCUGCACUGGAUGAAUGAUUUAUAACUUGAAACCUAAAGAAUUUGGAAACACAGUUGCAUUUUCUUCCCGUGGGAUUAACGCUGACUCCAUUUGUUCUAGUUUUGCUAAAGCCUGAAACAAAGAUGGUUUUAGUUCAUUCCUGUCAAAUAUGAAUGAUGCUCUGACUUUGCAAAAAUGCAACAUACUUCUCAAAUGAGUGUCAUCCUGUUUCACCUUCUUCCCGGGAAAUUCGUGCGAGCAAAGAGAUCAAACCCUCGUUCUUCUCCGGAACAGAAAUUAUUCGUAUUUGCAUUAAUUUAAAGAGAGGUCAGUGUGCAUCCACACUUACUGUGGACUGAUUUAUGUUUAAAAAUCAGGUGGGAAGAAGAAGGUACUUCUUACACAUUGCUUUGGUGUGUUGGGAUCAUCUGUUUUCUGGAAGUGCUCCUCCCUUUCUACUGGCUGUAGAUGAGAUGCUUCCUACCAUAGAGUCACAGAAUCAUUUGGGUUGGAAAAGAACUCAAAGAUCAUCGAGUCCAACUGUUCCCCCACCCCUGGCACUGCCCCAUGUCCCUGAGAACCUCAUCUCUGUGUAUUUCCAACCCCUUCAGGGAUGGUGACUCCAGCACUGCCCUGGGCAGCCUGUUCCAAUGCCCAACAGCCCUUUGGGGAAGAAAUUGUUCCCCAGAUCCAACCUCAACCUCCCCUGGUGCAACUUGAGGCCGUUUCUUUGUGUCCCUGUCUGGUUGGAUACAAGAGGGAAUCUUUUCACUGUGAGAACAAUCAGCCCUUGGAACAAUCUCCCCAGGGAAGCAGUAGAUUCCCAGCAUUGGAUGCUUUUAAGAUUUGGCUGGGCCAGCUUGCCUAGGCUGUAGUUUUGCCAAGAAAUGUUGGACCAGAUGAUCCUUGUGGUCCCUUCCAACUGGGGAUUCUCUGUUUCUGUGGAGAACUUUCCAUCGGUGUCCUCUCCAGACCACAGCAUUGACACCAGAAGCUCCACACAUGGAGCUGAUGUGAUAUCUUGGUUUGGACCUCCUGGUCCUUUGUUGUCCAAGAGGAUGUGGUGAAGAGGGAGAAGGCAGCAAUGGAACCCACCAGCAAGUGGGCUGUCAGGAGACAAUCUCUUCAUCCUCCCUUCUUGGUGCUUGGACUGGUGCUUUCUCAUUAGUGUAUUUUAAUGUAGUUGUGCCUUCUGUGCACAGAAAGUGUUUUGGAUAGAAAAAGGACUUCUGGCUCCUUUUGGCCUUCGGGAGGUCCCUCUUUGGGGAUUUUGUGGGCUGGGGUGGGGAGGCUGGAUGGUUUGUUGGUUUGAAAUUCCCAGUGUGAAAUGAAACUUCAUUACAUAAGAAAAUUUUCCCUCACCAUCUUCAUCCGUGGGCACGUGGCUGGUGGACCAAAGGGAGGAAGGACGGAUGGACAUGGAGAACCAGGGGUGUGUUGGGAGCAAUCCAGUCUCGUCACUGAUGUAUGGGCAUUGACUUCUUGAGACACCAGGAAGACUUCAGAGCCCCAAGUUGGGUUGAUUAGUCCAAAUUCCCUUGGGAUGAAUGACCCUGAGAAGUUCCUCCUUUCGUCUGUUAGCAAGACUGCUUGGACAGGGGGUUCAUCGCAGGGCGGAGUUGCCAACAACAGCAAAAUGAGAAGGAUUUUUCUUCGUUAGCAAAAUUACUGGCUGGGUGUUGAUAUGGUGAUGCUCUGGAAAGCAGGGGGAUGUCUUGGGCCAUGGUGGGAGAUGGAAAACAGCCAGGAAUGAGAAGGCCAUCAGGACAGCCUGUCUCAAAAAACACAGCUCAAUAUACUUUGGAGUUUUGGUUUUGUUUUGUGUUUUUUUAACAGUUUAACUUACUGUGGGUGAAACCACUCGUGGUUUCCUGUUUUCAUGAUUUGGCUCUUUUUUAAAAUGGUUUGGCAAGGAUGUUAUUUAGUAGCAGAAUCGAGUCUCUGGGCCCACUUGAACAGGUUUGACACCAUCACGCAGGAACCACGAGCACCUGGGGGUUCUGUCGAAGGGGUUUGCAUCCCAUUUGAAAAUAAGCUCUGUAUGGCAAAGGUGAUGGCAAAGAAAACCAGCGUGAGGCUCAUCUUGUCACAAAGUCGAGUCCAAUCUGUCUGCGUGUCUACUUUUGUUGUUAAUACCCGGUCUCCUUAAGCUGGAGACGUCGCUGAUUUAUGAUGCUGCGUAAAGCUCUGCGAACCGGAGUAGACAAAACAGGAAACGAAAGAGCUUUGCAAAUCUACAAAGUAUUAAGAAAUCACUAAGUGCUGGGGAGUCUUACAGGAUGGUGCUGCUUUCCCCAUGGGGAGGGGGAAUUAAAAUUAAAAAUAAGAAUUAAAAACCAUGCACUGGGCUGUAUCUCUGGCUGCUUUUCCCAAAGGGAGAAAUCAAUCUUGUGUUUGCCCCCCACCCCGGUCUUAAAUUAUACUGGGUAUCGAUACAACCAUGCAAAAUACGACGUGUAUUUGCGUCUCCUCUGGGUGGUGUUUCAGGAUGCUGAGAUUUCCUAGAAUCAGCGGUUAUCUGUGCGAGGGAGAGGGUGUUGCUCGUAACCGACCAUCUGUGCACACUUUGAAGGAGAUGAUAGGAAAAGCACAAUAUUGUGUGUCCUUGGCUCCCGAGUCGGUUUAGCAGCAGCGGUAUCUGCGUCCAGGAUUCAAGAGAAAUGCGAUUAUGGGAUAACAUAAGCGAAAAGUGGCGCUGAUCUUGGAGAAGAGCCUCAGCUCCGGUGCCGGAGAGCUGAAAAUACGGGUGGUUAAUGAAGUUUUACAUAUAAAAUAGUAUCUGUGCCUGCCCCGUGGGGUUCGGUGGGAUUUUCGGCGCUGUUCCAGGCUGAUGCUGGAUCCUGGAAAGACCAGGGAUAUGUUGGUCUCCUGCUCGCUUCUCCCCAUUGUCUGUCAAACCCUUCCCGAAACACCUUCUCGCGUUGCGGUGACAUCGCGAUGUGACCUUCUUCGCUAAACAUUUAGAGAGAAACUCGGCUUUUAGGUUCCUUUUAUUCACAAGGCAAAACUUCUCCCAUUUAUAGGCUCUGUAACGGAACCCUGGAGGUCAGUACCAUUAAGGGGGAUUUUGCCGUGUUUCCUGGGAAGUUUCUUCAUUUACAGCACAAGAUUUCUUUUAGGAAAGAGAGAUAUGUUCACGUUGUAUAAAACUUUGGGAAAUAUUCAUUUAAGUGCUGAUAGGGCCGCGUUAUACCAGUUCACAUUCUGCAGAUGACUGAUUAAUGGUGGUGGCGAGUUGGUGAAGGGUUUUUCCCCCCUUUUGAGAUGCAAAAUAACUUCCUGAGGUUGAGUAUCUGCCACACAUCCCACAAGAAAUAAUUUUGCUUAAAGGUACCUCCAAAACAAGAGAAUUGAAUGCAAUAAUCAUGGUUAAGUGAGGAGACAAUCUCCCCAGGCUGUGGAUGAGAUGAUGGGAAAACAAGGUGGUUCCUUCCCAAUUCCUGGUCUGUAAAGGUUUUUAUGAACAACCAGGGCAGUUUCUUGUAGCAAGAUGCAGCUGAAGGCACUUGAGAAUACUUUUAUUUAUCUUUUCUACUGCUCAGCAACAGUAAACACUGUCUCUUUUUCACUACAAAUGGCUCGCCCGUGUUUAUAUCCGUCAUAACAUAUCCAUUUCUGGCCCAAACGUUUCUUGGAAAUAUCAUCUGCUUGAGCUGCCACAACAGGAUGGAAAGGACUUGGGGGAUAUAUCUGAAAGUUGAGCUGUGCUGCCUUCAAAACAUCAAACCGAGAUAGAAACAGCUCAUCUUUUGGGGGAUCACUAAAUAGAUUUUAUAUGUUUUCAGUGCUAUCCCAUUCUGUGCGUCUUUCUUUGCUUGUUCUUCCCCUCUUUGUAUGUAAAUCAUGAGCUGGAUGUCAAUGUCCGCCUGGCUGAGAUGCUUAAUAAUUAACUGGUGGCACUUUUUGGAUGCGCAUCUCGAAGGAGAAGCUUUAUAGGUGUAUUUUCAGCUCUUUCUAAGCAGCUGAAAUGUCAAAGGCUCUUUGGCACUGACAGUAAGUGGCAAUAGGAACACCCCAGAGGUAGGAAGGAGAAAGGAAAUGUGGGUUUUGUUUCACCGAAAGGCAAAUUCGGGGAAAUGGAAGAACUGCAAUGAAAGAUUUGUCUGCAAAUUAAAACUCCAAAUAACUCCCCAGAACAAGCUCCCAUAAGAUCUCCCUCUCCCUCCAAAAUAUGGCAGGGGGAAUAUUCUUGGCUCUGCCCAUCAGUUUUCACAGAAUCCCAGGAUGUCAGGGAUUGGAAGGGACCUGGAAAGCUCAUCGAGUGCAAUCCCCCCAUG